UGAUACCACAAACAAUGUACCACAUUGCCUUUCUAUAGAUUCAAAACAAAUCUAUUAAAUAAUGAAUUAAAUCAAUUUAUUCAUCAACACAUACAUAUGGCUAGCUUACACAUUACAGAGCGCUAGAUUUAUAUCUCGUAAAAAAGGCUUCCUCUCGAAACGGAACGGUGAUAUUUUUUCAAGGAAUUAAUAGCAGAAAAGACAAAAAUGAAGGGAGUUUCCCAAAUUCUACUCGCCAUUUCUAUCUGCUCUAUGGAGUGUCACAUUGUCGUUGAAAAUAGUCAACCUUUAAAUAUAAAUGCGGAAACCACUGAUGACGUCUCUAUUGAAGACACGCCUACAAGUGUCAUCAAUGGAAAUACGGAUUCGGAUAACGGACUUUGUCGAAGAUGCAUGUGCAGACUGAAUGGCUGUCCGGAUGUGAUUCGUGCAAGGUGCUUGUCAGCUGGUCCCUUGUGUUGCUGUUGCCUUCCCGGGAACCACCCUUGUCUUGAUAUGGAAGAGUUUGCAGACAAAGUUGCUGACGAUACAGGUGAUACUUUAGAAGCGCUGGAGGAAGGUCUGGAAGACAUAGAUGAAUUAGAGAAAUGAUGAAACAAUGGGAAAUGUAAGGAAAACAAAAUACGAGUUUGAAUUAUUAGACCUAUAUAACUUUAUUGACGCUUAUGCAACGGUACUAAUGAACAUGUUUGAGGAACUGGUCAUUAUUAUACCAGAUUUAUAUAGCGCCCUUUUCAUGAUCAAUUUCACGUCAUAGUAGUGUUAUAAAACCAAUAUGUUUUCACGUGGAUUAAUUCGCUAAAAAGUCUUAUUAUCGAUGAAUCGUGACUGAAAUCCUUUAUAAUAGUCAGUUUGAUCGAAAAUAUAUCUCCUUUUUUGUAUUAUACACAAUGAAAAUUACUGGCGUUUUCAUGUUUUUUUUUACAUAAUGUAAACCGCCAAUGCCUGAAAAAAAAUUUGAAAAUGUCUUCUUUAUAAAUUCAUUGGAUAUUUAUAUUAAUAGAUUAGUAAAUACGAAUGACAUUCUAUGUAAAAAAUAGUUAUUAAAACACUAGAUUCAGCAUAUCCUUUGCGACAUGUUUCCUCACCGCCAGGAUGUAUUUAUUUAAAAAUGAUUCGACGACAUCAUGAUAAAUAAAAAUUAUAUUUCUAACAAAAUGAAUAGAUAAAAGUCUCCGUAUGGUA